rnacentral:rRNA from 1 species
AUUGAACGCUGGCGGCAUGCCUUACACAUGCAAGUCGAACGGCAGCAUGAUCUAGCUUGCUAGAUUGAUGGCGAGUGGCGAACGGGUGAGUAAUACAUCGGAACGUGCCCUGUAGUGGGGGAUAACUAGUCGAAAGAUUAGCUAAUACCGCAUACGACCUGAGGGUGAAAGUGGGGGACCGCAAGGCCACAUGCUAUAGGAGCGGCCGAUGUCUGAUUAGCUAGUUGGUGAGGUAAAGGCUCACCAAGGCGACGAUCAGUAGCUGGUCUGAGAGGACGAUCAGCCACACUGGGACUGAGACACGGCCCAGACUCCUACGGGAGGCAGCAGUGGGGAAUUUUGGACAAUGGGCGAAAGCCUGAUCCAGCAAUGCCGCGUGUGUGAAGAAGGCCUUCGGGUUGUAAAGCACUUUUGUCCGGAAAGAAAUGGCUCUGGUUAAUACCUGGGGUCGAUGACGGUACCGGAAGAAUAAGGACCGGCUAACUACGUG